UCGGGACUCUGGUAAUUCUGGAUGGUGUCCUGAUGCAAGGAACCGUUCUCGUUGUAACUCCUUUUGGCGUCGUUGACGUAGGUGGACCCGUAAGAACGUCCGUUUACUUUCGUCUUGCUUCCUAAACAAGAAACAAUUAUUCAAACACGCAACAACCUUCUCAACCAUAGACAGUCCUUUGGACUCCAAAUUCAUAAAACCAAUGACGAUCAGGGUGUGUAUUGUUAAAGGAAACACUAGUAAGCGGAACCUUUUCCUUGCGUCAAGGGAAAUUAACAUUGAAACCGAGAAAAAGUAUAAACUAUAAUUUGUAGACCUAACCCAGGCCUAAUCCAAUUUGAAGAUGAAAUGGAAAUGAAGGAUGAUUAACACUAAAGCAUCUAUUACACAGGUGAAAUCUGCCUCCGCACCAUUGUAAUUGUAAUUGGAUGAUGUGGAUCUGUCAUCUGCAGCCUCGAUGAAAGGGUCCAGCUUGAAGUCGAGCAGCCAGGACAAGUUGCCAGUUUCCUGAUCGUCGAAUUGCUGCUGAUACUGGUUACUAGAGGAUGGUG